GGAAGUAAAAGUCGAAACAAGGUUUCCGUAGGUGAACCUGCGGAAGGAUCAUUACUGAGUGAGGGCCCCUCGGGGUCCAACCUCCCACCCGUGUUUAACGAACCUUGUUGCUUCGGCGAGCCCGCCUCACGGCCGCCGGGGGGCAUCUGCCCCCGGGCCCGCGCCCGCCGAAGCCACCUGUGAACUCGUCUGAAGUAUGUAGUCUGAGACAAUUAUUAAAUUAAUUAAAACUUUCAACAACGGAUCCCUUGGUUCCG
rnacentral:misc_RNA from 1 species